CAAGCAGGAAAAUAUGUAAAGCAGGAGGGAAGACAACAAAAAAAAGUGUAAUUAGGAGCACUUAAAGAUGCCUUAUUUGUGCUUCUUCAGGAUACAAGGUCUCUUUGGGUCACUGUAAAAUCUCCUUUAAAACUGAAAAUCAAGACUGUGGUCCCCUGGAGGUGACUGUGGGUGGAAAUGCCAGGGGCAGGGAAGAAUCAGGAGUGGGCUCCUGUGUCCUGAAGUGGGUGCUACCCUCACCCCAGGGAGCAGGCAGGGCUCCUCCUGUCCCUCUGCAGCGAUUCCAUUUGCAAAGCACAGUUUGCCUGGAGCAGGGCCCCGCCUGGCCUUCAGGCCAUCUUUUUGUGUGUCCUGGCUGCUGGUGCACAGGACACACAAACGCUGAUGGUUUUACACCCUGCGAUGGCACAAAGCUUCGCACUGCUGCUCCCUGAGCUUGUUUUCUGUCGAGCUUCUGGAGAAAGGUGGAGUGGGGCACUUUAACCCAGACAGCUGGGAGAAGCACGUUAUGAUUCAGAAGCCGGGUGAAGUCAGUGUCUCCACCUGCGAUAGCGCCAUUUCCUCCACUUUUUCAUCACAGAGGGCACCCACGUACAUCAGCACAGCCUUAUAAGGGCAGGAGCACGGCGUUGGAGGCUGAGAGGAGGUGGGGCCUCCCAGGGCUGGAGGCUGCCCGGCCCUGACCUCCUUCCUGGGAAAAACCCUGGGAACCCUCCCUUGGCCCAGCUGCUGAAGCAGGAGAAAACUGCACGACCACCCCUUUCCUCUUCCCUUUCUCCCCCGCACCUCCCGGAGGAGCUGCGGCGAAGCCUCCGCUCGCUGCUUUUUGGGGAUCUGGGGAGCCACGGGUCGCGGGGUCCCAUGCAUCCGACAUGGGAACCCUAUUCCCAUCUGGUUGGG